UUCUCAAAUCUCCUGCCUUGUCCAUAGGGUUGAAAUUCCUGUGGUUUGGUUUGUUUUCUAAACCCUCAUUUUCCCAUCUAUUACAGAAAAUAACCCCUCUGUCCCCUCUGAGAAUAUUGCUGUCUGAUGCAACAUUCAGGCUCCAGGAUGGGAAGAUGAGAACCACUGCACCCUUAACCCUCUUCUACCAAAGCAUGUGAUAGCUGUCAGGUCUGAUUGAAAUUCUGUGAGUGUGUGAGUCAGUUUUCACUUGCAGCCUGGGAGGAAAACAGUAGGAAAACCAAAGGUGAGUACUGAAUGUGAAGUGAUGGGAGGGGGGGUUGGCUACGCUAAGGAAGUUUUUGGUUUCCUUUAUUGAACAGCCUGCUAAAGGGUUAUUUAUCAGGCUUCUUAAUAACACAAACCACUUCUAGGCUUAGAAUUAAACACCUACUUAGAACUAGAUAAUUAGGUGUGUAUCUUGUGAUCUAUAUUGUGUUCCCUAUAAUGAACAUACUGAGGUUGUCUCAUUGAACAGGUAGAAAUGGAUAAAGCAGAACUCCUCACUUCACUGCCCUCAAUCCAGUUAGUCCCAACAGAAUGAGAACCAACACAUCCUUGGCGCAUGUAGUAGCAGAAUGUCCAGGAACAUCUCACCCUGCUGUUUCCCAAAAUCCAGUGUAUAACUGCCGUAGUGGGGACCUGCCAACAGUGGUGUUCACUGACUGA
rnacentral:lncRNA from 14 species